AGCGGCAAGUUAGGUAGUAAUACUUGACCUAGAGCGGCGCACGGGUGCGUAACGCGUAUGCAACCUACCUUUUACUGGGGGAUAGCCCGGAGAAAUCUGGAUUAAUACCCCAUGGUACCUACGAAUCGAUUGGUUUGUAGUUUAAAGAUUUAUCGGUAAAAGAUGGGCAUGCGUCUGAUUAGCUAGUUGGCGGGGUAACGGCCCACCAAGGCGACGAUCAGUAGGGGUUCUGAGAGGAAGGUCCCCCACACUGGCACUGAAAUACGGGCCAGACUCCUACGGGAGGCAGCAGUAGGGAAUAUUGGGCAAUGGUCGCAAGACUGACCCAGCCAUGCCGCGUGCAGGAAGACGGCCCUCUGGGUUGUAAACUGCUUUUAUCUGGGAAGAAAAAGUCCAUGCGUGGAAAAUUGCCGGUACCAGAUGAAUAAGCACCGGCUAACUCCGUGCCAGCAGCCGCGGUAAUACGGAGGGUGCAAGCGUUGUCCGGAUUUAUUGGGUUUAAAGGGUGCGUAGGCGGCUGAAUAAGUCAGCGGUGAAAGACUUCGGCUUAACCGGAGCAGUGCCGUUGAUACUGUUUAGCUUGAGUGUUGGAGGGGUACAUGGAAUUGAUGGUGUAGCGGUGAAAUGCAUAGAUACCAUCAGGAACACCGAUAGCGAAGGCAUUGUACUGGCCAACAACUGACGCUGAGGCACGAAAGUGUGGGGAUCGAACAGGAUUAGAUACCCUGGUAGUCCACACUGUAAACGAUGAUUACUCGCUGUUAUGCUGUAUAGU
rnacentral:rRNA from 1 species